rnacentral:rRNA from 1 species
CCUACGGGAGGCAGCAGUGGGGAAUCUUGCGCAAUGGGCGAAAGCCUGACGCAGCCAUGCCGCGUGAAUGAUGAAGGUCUUAGGAUUGUAAAAUUCUUUCACCGAGGACGAUAAUGACGGUACUCGGAGAAGAAGCCCCGGCUAACUUCGUGCCAGCAGCCGCGGUAAUACGAAGGGGGCUAGCGUUGCUCGGAAUUACUGGGCGUAAAGGGAGCGUAGGCGGAUAGUUUAGUCAGAGGUGAAAGCCCAGGGCUCAACCUUGGAAUUGCCUUUGAUACUGGCUAUCUUGAGUACGGAAGAGGUAUGUGGAACUCCGAGUGUAGAGGUGAAAUUCGUAGAUAUUCGGAAGAACACCAGUGGCGAAGGCGACAUACUGGUCCGUUACUGACGCUGAGGCUCGAAAGCGUGGGGAGCAAACAGGAUUAGAUACCCUGGUAGUCCACGCUGUAAACGAUGAGUGCUAGUUGUCGGCAUGCAUNNAUGUGUGACGCAGCUACGCAUAGACACNCCGCCGUCGGGAGGUACGGUCGCGAAGAAGUUAAACUAACAAUAGUAAGUAGUACGGACGUGAGACGUGACCGACGACGACGACGAGGGAGGAGG